CCUACGGGAGGCAGCAGUGAGGAAUAUUGGUCAAUGGGCGGAAGCCUGAACCAGCCAAGUCGCGUGAGGGAAUAAGGCCCUACGGGUCGUAAACCUCUUUUGCCGGGGAGCAAGGGCCGGGACGCGUCCCGGCCCGGAGAGUACCCGGAGAAAAAGCAACGCCUAACUCCGUGCCAGCAGCCGCGGUAAUACGGUGGAUGCGAGCGUGAUCCGGAUUUAUUGGGGUUAAAGGGUGCGUAGGCGGGCUUUUAAGUCAGCGGUAAAAAUUAGGGGCAAAACCCCGUCCGGCCGUUGAAACUGGGGGCGUUGAGUGCGCGAGAAGAAGGCAGAAUGCGUGGUGUAGCGGUGAAAUGCCUAGAUAUCACGCAGAACCCCGAUUGCGAAGGCAGCCUUCCGGCGCCCUACUGACGCUGAGGCACGAAAGUGCGGGGAUCGAACAGGAUUAGAUACCCUAGUAGUC
rnacentral:rRNA from 1 species